GACAGUACUCACUCAGCCCAGGCUUCCAGGCCCUCCUGGGCCCUCCUAUCCACUGAAGGAAAUGGGAGAUGAGUGGGUAAUGGAAAAGCCUUUGGAGUCAGAUGUAAAUCCAUGACUUGACCACUUAUUGCUGUGAGACCCUGGACAGCUGGAUAUAGAGUUCUUGUUCUAGCAUCCGCCCUGGGAAUCCCCGGAACUGGGCCUCUUACCGACACCAUUGCCUGUAAUCCACAAACCUAGGAGUUACUCCAGUUACUGUCCUACUGAAGGACCCCCAUCCCAUCUGGGCUACUAUAACCACAUGGACCAUCCCUUGCUUCAAUCAUAGAAUUCUUUCUUCAGAUCAAAGUAUAUUCAGACACUCGAUACAGUAACAAAAGCAAGCUAUCCUGGAAGGAAGAAGGAAUCAGGAGGCAGAGCACAUGGUUAAAGCAUGAGAUGUGAAACCAGGAAGAACCAGGUCUGAACCUUAGCUCCACCAGUGGUAGCUUCAAACCUUGGUCCUUUCUGAGCCUGCUUCUUCAACCGUAAGGGAACGCUACACUUCCUUAGAAAUUAAGAGUGUGUGCUACACUGCUUUACCAGAGCAAGGCCAAAAGCAGCUUCAAUUAUGGUACAACUGUGUGAAGACACAAUGCAAAACCACUCAAGAAUGCUCACUCAAAUGGAUUUUUACCAUGAUAAGCGACCAGAAAACAGUCCUCUCUGAAUCAGACAAACUUCAAGAGCUACAAGGGUUAUUAACACAUGAAGUAAAGAGUCAAACAGUAAUCUGCAGGAACUCGGAAACGGGACCCAGAAAGUUGUUUUCUCAAGUGGAUGGAACAACACAAGCAAUCAGUAUCCUGAAACAGGCCCUGUUCCAACAAACUGACCCAGAAAGGUCUGGUUAGGAGGACAGGACCCUCACUAUACACUAUCACAUUUAAACUAAAAGGAUAUUAUGAAUUAUGUACACAUAUCAAGCUGAGAGGAAAGGAAAUCCUAUCAUCUUGCAGGCUUCCUAA
rnacentral:lncRNA from 1 species